rnacentral:tmRNA from 1 species
UGUAAGGAGGAGUGGCAGAGCGGUUGAAUGCAGCAGUCUUGAAAACUGCCGUGGGUUAAUAGCCCACCGUGAGUUCGAAUCUCACCUCCUCCACCAAAUUAAGUUAAGCUAAGCCGCAGAAAUGCGGCCUUUUAGUGUCUUAACGCAAAUAAACAUCAAAACGCAUAGUGGUUGAAAAUAUACUAUGUUGCGGUUUUAGCUGCGCUAAAUUGGGGGCGUUUAUGGGGCGCUUAACCACAAUACGUUUAAUAUCAGUUGCUAAGGCGCAGAUUAAAAGCUGGUCGGCAUCAAGAUCAUCCCCAACUAAAUCACGGACAAUGCGUAAAUCUUGCUUGACUAGAGCUGAUUUUUGGCGAUAUGGGAACAUCGGGUCGAUAUAAAUUACAUCAUAUUUAGUUGCAAUCAAUACAUUAUCUUCAAGAUAAGU